CACGUGUCACCGAAAAUGUCAGGAGCUGAUGAUCGAAUUAGCACGCAUUGUCGCAUCAGCGCACCAACAUCAUAUUUCGUCGUGACCCUUUCAUUUUUCUUCCUUAAUUAAUUUUUUUUCUUCUUUUUUUUUCUUUUUUUUUUCCUUUUCUUUUUUUUCUCUUUUCCUUUUUUUUUAUUUUUAUCUUUUCUUCUUCUUCCUCCUUUCCCGUGGGUUCCUCUCUUUUUUUUCGUUUUUUUUUCUUCUCUUCUCUCUCUCUCUCUCUCUCUCUCUCUCUCCCUUUCUCUCUCUUCUUCUCCUUCUUCUUCUCUUCUUAUUCUUCUUCUUUCUUUUCCUUUUCUUUUUCCUAUUCUUCACGCGACAUCUCCCCUUCCGCCACGUCCCACCUUCGCAAUUACCGCUCACUCCUCCUCACGCAACCAAAACUCCUCCCCUCACUCUGCUCUCUCGGCCCCGAUGUCGUUUGGCCCGCUCUCUUCUCUAUCUAUUUUUUUCUUCUUUCUCCCUUUUUUUUUCUGCUAUUUUCUUACAUAUAUAUACAUAUACAUAUAUAUAUAUGCGGCUUAAGUCUUCCACCUCCUUUUCUUUUUUUUUUCUUUAUAAUUAAUUUUGUAUAUUAUUUCUUUUUAUUUUUUAUUUUUUGUUUUAUCUUGUUUUUCUUUUCAUUAUAAUUAAUUAUUUAUAUGUUUUUUUC
rnacentral:lncRNA from 1 species